rfam:Methanococcoides burtonii DSM 6242, complete genome.
UUGAGCUAUAUGAGGUGAAAGUCUCACGUAUAGUUCUUAGGCGAGAAAGAGGGAGUAAUCCCUCUAACUUAGCCGAC